rnacentral:rRNA from 1 species
GAGGAAAAGAAACCAACAGGGAUUGCCUCAGUAACGGCGAGUGAAGCGGCAAAAGCUCAAAUUUGAAAUCUGGCCCCCCCCGCGGGGGUCCGAGUUGUAAUUUGCAGAGGAUGCUUUGGGCGCGGCGCCUUCCGAGUGCCUUGGAACAGGUCGCCUCAGAGGGUGAGAGCCCCGUACGGUUGGACGCCUAGCCCGUGUAAAGCUCCUUCAACGAGUCGAGUAGUUUGGGAAUGCUGCUCAAAAUGGGAGGUAAAUUCCUUCUAAAGCUAAAUACUGGCCAGAGACCGAUAGCGCACAAGUAGAGUGAUCGAAAGGUGAAAAGCACUUUGAAAAGAGAGUCAAAUAGCACGUGAAAUUGUUAAAAGGGAAGCGUCUGCGACCAGACGCGCCGCCCGCGGCUCACCCGGCGCCUCGGCGCCGGGGCACGCCGCGGGCGUCGGGCCAGCAUCGGCUCUGCCGUGGGUACAAGGACCGCGGGAACGUAGCUCCCUCGUGGAGUGUUAUAGCCCGCGGCACCAUGCCCGCGGCGGGGCCGAGGACCGCGCCCGCAAGGGCAAGGAUGCUGGCGUAAUGGCCGCCGGCGACCCGUCUUGAAACACGGACCAAGGAGUCAAGCAGUGGGGCGAGUGUACGGGUGCCAAACCCGCGCGCGAAAUGAAAGUAAACGCAGGUGGGAGCCUCCGGGCGCACCACCGACCGAUCCUGACGUUCUCUGAUGGAUUUGAGUAGGAGCCCUACUGCUUGGACCCGAAAGAUGGUGAACUAUGCCUGUAUAGGGUGAAGCCAGAGGAAACUCUGGUGGAGGCUCGCAGCGG